GCCUCGGUAGCGCAGUAGGCAGCGCGUCAGUCUCAUAAUCUGAAGGUCGUGGGUUCGAUCCUCACCCGGGGCA
rnacentral:tRNA from 1 species